rnacentral:sRNA from 1 species
GCUUUUGCUGCUGUGGCUCAGCUGUUUCAGACAACUCAAGGCCAACAGCUUCAGCAGAUCCUUCAGACUUUUCAACAGCCUCCAAAACCACAGUCUCCUGCCCUUGACAAUGCCGUGAUGGCUCAGGUUCAGGCUAUCACAGCUCAGUUAAAGACAACUCCUACACAACCAUCUGAACAAAAAGCUGCUUUCCCCCCACCUGAACAGAAAACUGCAUUUGACAAGAUUUGACUAUGAUGAUGAGCCAGAAGCUGUGGAAGAAUCAAAGAAAGAGGAUACCACUGCCGUCACCACGACAGCACCUGCUGCCGCAGUACCCCCUGCACCCACCGCCACCGUGCCUGCUGCUGCUGCACCCGCUGCUGCCUCUCCUCCUCCUCCACAGGCACCAUUUGGCUUUCCUGGAGAUGGCAUGCAGCAGCCAGCAUACACACAGCAUCAAAAUAUGGAUCAGUUUCAGCCACGAAUGAUGGGAAUACAACAGGAUCCAAUGCACCAUCAGGUUCCACUUCCUCCUAAUGGACAAAUGCCAGGAUUUGGACUUCUUCCUACACCUCCAUUUCCUCCCAUGGCUCAGCCUGUGAUUCCUCCAACUCCACCAGUGCAGCAGCCUUUCCAAGCUUCUUUUCAGGCACAAAAUGAACCACUUACACAGAAGCCACAUCAGCAGGAAAUGGAAGUAGAACAACCUUGUAUUCAAGAGGUUAAGCGACAUAUGUCUGAUAACAGAAAGUCAAGAUCUAGGUCAGCAUCCAGGUCACCAAAAAGGAGGCGAUCUAGAUCUGGUUCUAGAUCUCGAAGGUCUCGGCAUCGACGUUCUCGAUCUCGGUCCAGGGAUAGACGCCGACAUUCUCCCCGAUCUCGAUCCCAAGAAAGACGGGAUCGAGAAAAAGAGAGAGAACGUCGACAAAAAGGCCUCCCUCAAGUGAAACCGGAAACUGCAAGUGUUUGCAGUACUACCCUCUGGGUGGGGCAGCUGGACAAAAGAACUACUCAGCAGGAUGUUGCCAGUCUCUUGGAAGAGUUUGGUCCAAUUGAAUCAAUUAAUAUGAUUCCUCCCAGGGGUUGUGCCUAUAUUGUUAUGGUUCAUAGGCAAGAUGCCUAUCGUGCCCUGCAGAAACUGAGCCGAGGAAACUAUAAAGUGAACCAGAAAUCCAUAAAGAUUGCCUGGGCCUUAAACAAAGGAAUAAAGGCAGAUUAUAAGCAGUAUUGGGAUGUAGAACUUGGUGUUACUUAUAUUCCAUGGGACAAAGUCAAGCCUGAGGAACUCGAGAGUUUUUGUGAAGGAGGAAUGUUGGACAGUGACACACUUAACCCAGAUUGGAAAGGAAUUCCUAAGAAGCCUGAAAAUGAAGUUGCUCAAAAUGGAGGUGCUGAAACCUCACACACAGAACCAGUAUCACCCAUACCUAAACCAUUACCUGUGCCUGUCCCUCCUAUUCCUGUUCCUGCACCUAUAACAGUGCCACCUCCACAGGUCCCACCACAUCAACCGGGUCCACCUGUAGUUGGUGCUCUCCAGCCGCCUGCUUUCACGCCUCCUCUGGGAAUACCGCCUCCAGGCUUUGGUCCUGGUGUUCCUCCUCCCCCUCCUCCUCCACCAUUUUUGCGCCCAGGAUUCAACCCAAUGCAUUUACCACCAGGUUUUCUGCCUCCUGGACCCCCACCUCCUAUAACUCCACCAGUAUCCAUUCCUCCUCCUCACACUCCACCAAUAAGCAUCCCAAACUCUACUAUCGCUGGUAUAAAUGAAGACACUACAAAAGACUUAUCUAUUGGAAAUCCCAUUCCAACAGUGGUGUCUGGGGCUAGAGGAAACGCCGAGUCUGGUGACAGCGUGAAAAUGUAUGGCUCUGCUGUGCCACCUGCUGCACCCACGAAUCUGCCCACCCCUCCUGUAACCCAGCCUGUUUCACUUCUUGGUAAGUUAUUUUUUUUUAUCAUUAGUUUUCCUUGCCCCACCCCCACCCACCCCCCCACCCAUCCCCAAGUUAGAUUUUUUUAAAAAAACAAUGUUAAUUUUGGUAAAAUUAUUUCCAAGACUGGCUUUUUUGGUUGUUUUGUUUGUUUGUUUGUUUUUGAGGAAGAUCUUCCUCUUAAAGUCAAAUAUGUGUACUUGAUCUUUACCAAGAGAGAAUCUCAAAGACAAAAUCAUGUUUGUCUGUCUUGAAUAAAAGUUUGGAUCUUCACAUCCUUAUUUGGUAUAGAAAAAUGAUUAAAAGUAAUCUCUGUGCAAAGGAAUUGGUACAGAGUUCGUAAUUCACUUAACCUUAGUCUCUUCCCAGCUUUUAGGAGAUACUUCUUUAACAGCCUAGGUUUUUCUCUGUCUGGACCAAUUAUUAUCUAUCUGAAACCCCUGGACUUGGGUAGCGUUCUUUGUGGGCUAGCAAAGAAAUCAUCUUUGAUACAUUCCAAUAAAAUGGCUUUGUUUUCUAAGUAACAGUUGCGCAGCCUGAGGUACCACUUUCCCACUCACUCUCAGUUUACUUGGCUGGAGUUUAUCUGUUGUACUUUUUACCCACAACUUCAAUACUGUGAUCAAGGGCGAUGUGACUUAGAUCUUUUACAUCUUUAAGCAGGCUUACUCUUGCCUGCUUAAGUUAUGAAUAAAUACAUCACAUGCUUGUUACAGUAGACCAUCUUUUAAAUUAACAAAUUGUUGUAUUUGAAGUGGUAUUGCCAAAUAUAAUUAACACUUGAAUCCCCUAAUUGGAAGUUAAUGUCUUGAGAGUAUUACAGUGUUCUAGUCCUGUGAGCCCAUAGUAUUUUUCAAAGGUAUAUGCAUAUGCCUGUUUGCUUUCAUAAUCUGAGUUGUUUUAGGAAAGAACCUAUUGAUUACCUCUGAGAUGUAGGACUGUGAGACAUUGGUUUGUAAUGGAGGACUUUUACUUUUCACCUAUGCUAUUCAGUACUGUUGGAAUUUUUUAUUUUUUGCAUGUACUAUAUUUAUAAUAAAAAACAAUUUGUUUUUAAA